UUGUCACCAGUUGCUCAUGUACCUCUUU
rnacentral:piRNA from 1 species